rnacentral:rRNA from 1 species
GGGAGCAAACAGGAUUAGAUACCCUGGUAGUCCACGCCGUAAACGAUGUCGACUUGGAGGUUGUGCCCUUGAGGCGUGGCUUCCGGAGCUAACGCGUUAAGUCGACCGCCUGGGGAGUACGGCCGCAAGGUUAAAACUCAAAUGAAUUGACGGGGGCCCGCACAAGCGGUGGAGCAUGUGGUUUAAUUCGAUGCAACGCGAAGAACCUUACCUGGUCUUGACAUCCACGGAAGUUUUCAGAGAUGAGAAUGUGCCUUCGGGAACCGUGAGACAGGUGCUGCAUGGCUGUCGUCAGCUCGUGUUGUGAAAUGUUGGGUUAAGUCCCGCAACGAGCGCAACCCUUAUCCUUUGUUGCCAGCGGUCCGGCCGGGAACUCAAAGGAGACUGCCAGUGAUAAACUGGAGGAAGGUGGGGAUGACGUCAAGUCAUCAUGGCCCUUACGACCAGGGCUACACACGUGCUACAAUGGCGCAUACAAAGAGAAGCGACCUCGCGAGAGCAAGCGGACCUCAUAAAGUGCGUCGUAGUCCGGAUUGGAGUCUGCAACUCGACUCCAUGAAGUCGGAAUCGCUAGUAAUCGUGGAUCAGAAUGCCACGGUGAAUACGUUCCCGGGCCUUGUACACACCGCCCGUCACACCAUGGGAGUGGGUUGCAAAAGAAGUAGGUAGCUUAACCUUCGGGAGGGCGCUUACCACUUUGUGAUUCAUGACUGGGGUGAAGUCGUAACAAGGUAACCGUAGGGGAACCUGCGGUUGGAUCACCUCCUUACCUUAAAGAAGC